CUGAAUAUACCAGAUCUCCUCUGAUCUCAGAAACUAAGCAG
ensembl:rRNA 5S_rRNA 5S ribosomal RNA